rnacentral:rRNA from 1 species
GAUGAACGCUGGCGGCGUGCCUAAUACAUGCAAGUCGAGCGAACAGAUGAGGAGCUUGCUCCUCUGACGUUAGCGGCGGACGGGUGAGUAACACGUGGAUAACCUACCUAUAAGACUGGGAUAACUUCGGGAAACCGGAGCUAAUACCGGAUAAUAUAUUGAACCGCAUGGUUCAAUAGUGAAAGACGGUUUUGCUGUCACUUAUAGAUGGAUCCGCGCCGCAUUAGCUAGUUGGUAAGGUAACGGCUUACCAAGGCAACGAUGCGUAGCCGACCUGAGAGGGAGGACGGCCACAGAGAUGCGGAACCACGUGCCAGAGUCAUACGGGAGGUAGCAGUCGGGAUUAUAGCGCGUUGAGUGCGAGCCGGACGGAGCGACGCCGAGCGAGUGAUGGAGGACAUCGGAUGGGUAAACUCUGUUAUUAGUGAGGAACAAAUCUGUACGUUUUUGUGCACAUCUAGACGGUACCUGAUCAGGAAGCCACGGCUAACUACGUG